rnacentral:rRNA from 1 species
UGAACGGCCACAUUGGGACUGAGACACGGCCCAAACUCCCACGGGAGGCAGCAGUAGGGAAUUUUCGGCAAUGGAGGAAACUCUGACCGAGCAACGUCGCGUGAACGAUGAAGUAUUUCGGUAUGUAAAGUUCUUUUAUUGAAGAAGAAAAAAUAGUGGAAAAACUAUCUUGACGCUAUUCAAUGAAUAAGCCCUGGCUAAUUAUGUGCCAGCAGCCGCGGUAAUACAUAAAGGGCGAGCGUUAUCCGGAAUUAUUGGGCGUAAAGGGUGCGUAGGCGGUUUGUUAAGUCUUUAGUUUAAUCUCAGUGCUUAACGCUGUUCUGCUAGAGAAACUGACUUACUAGAGUGAGAUAGAGGCAAGUGGAAUUCCAUGUGUCAGCGGUAAAAUGCGUAAAUAUAUGGAGGAACACCAGAGGCGUAGGCGGCUUGCUGGGUCUUUACUGACGCUGAGGCACGAAAGCGUGGGGAGCAAACAGGAUUAGAUACCCUGGUAGUCCACGCCGUAAACGAUGAGUACUAAGUGUCGGGGAAACUCGGUACUGAAGUUAACACAUUAAGUACUCCGCCUGAGUAGUACGUACGCAAGUAUGAAACUUAAAGGAAUUGACGGGAUCCCGCACAAGCGGUGGAUCAUGUUGUUUAAUUCGAAGAUACACGAAAAACCUUACCAGGUCUUGACAUACUCUGCAAAGCUGUAGAAAUACAGUGGAGGUUAUCAGGGAUACAGGUGGUGCAUGGUUGUCGUCAGCUCGUGUCGUGAGAUGUUAGGUUAAGUCCUAGAACGAGCGCAACCCUUGUCGUUAGUUACCAGCACGUUAUGGUGGGCACUUUAACGAGACUGCCAAUGAAAUAUUGGAGGAAGGUGAGGAUUACGUCAAAUCAUCAUGCCCCUUAUGAUCUGGGCUACAAACGUGAUACAAUGGCUGUUACAAAGAGUAGCUGAAACGUGAG